AAUUGAUGUGUUCAGAUUGUACAGAUGUGGAUAUGGAAGGGCUAGGUAACAUAAAAUACAAAACCAAUUUAAUGCAGAUUGCACAAGGGCCAUCUUAUUGUAGAUUGUUGGUUGUUUGAGAUCAAGCAACUCUGUACCAGCAGCUGUAUUUAGAUGGCCAUGCUCAUUGGGUUGCCUUUUGCUCUUUACCAGCCCUUCUGCUAUCCACAUUCGUACUAAUUUGUCCACAUCAAUU
rnacentral:pre_miRNA from 1 species